UACGUAGGGUGCAAGCGUUGUCCGGAAUUAUUGGGCGUAAAGAGCUCGUAGGCGGUUUGUCACGUCUGCUGUGAAAACUCGGGGCUUAACUCCGGGCCUGCAGUGGGUACGGGCAGACUAGAGUGCGGUAGGGGAGACUGGAAUUCCUGGUGUAGCGGUGAAAUGCGCAGAUAUCAGGAGGAACACCAAUAGCGAAGGCAGCUCGCUGGGACGGUACAGACGCUGAGACGCGAAAGCGUGGGGAGCGAACAGG
rnacentral:rRNA from 1 species